AGCACUGACACUGAUGGCUCCUUGUGCACUGUUGGUUCAUUACAACACAGGAUCAGCCUCUGAAUCUCUUGGCUAAGUAACUUUUUAAAGCCAGUAUUAGUACUAUAUUAGUGCCAUACUGCUUGCAGCUUACUAACAAUUUUUUUUGAUUCAGAAGCAACUCAGUCUUUAUACUAAUUAGGUCAGCAGUGUAAAUUCUGUAGUUUAUCACAGUUUAGGAAGAACAUGAAAGUAACUAAAGAUAUUUUCUUACACAGUCACCUGCUCCUUUACAGGCAGUUGAAGAUGCGUAUGUACCAGCUGUCAAGUUUGAGUUUGAUGGCGUUGAGAUUGAUCUGAUGUUUGCAAGACCGUCUGUGCAAACGGUUUCUGAUAAUCUUGAUCUCGGAGAUGACUGGCAUCUGAGAAGCCUGGAUAUGAGAUGUAUACUGAGCUUAAAUGAGUUGCCAAUGAAAUGCUACAUCUAGUGCUAAAGGAAGAGAACUUCCGGCUCACGCUCUGUGCGAUUAAACUGUGAACAAAACAUGAGGAAGGUGAUUGUUCAUAAUCUUUAAGCUUUUCAGAGGCACCUCAUGCUGAAAAAAUAGGACCAUUAGAAGUACUUCAGCUUUGGAUAGCCAUUUAAAUGAGAGUUUUCAAGCAAAAAUCUGGUUUUUAGUUUAGAUUCAAGGUCUGUCCAUGGGGUAGAGUGGGUGUGUUUUUUAAUGGGGGUAGAGUGGGGAGAAGAGAGGCGUGACUACAAGACAAGGUGCUUUACUGCUUAUCAGGAACCUGACUACAGGUGAUAAAAAAGCCAAGUUAAGUAUAAAAGCUUGAUCUGUAAGGAAUAAGUAUUGUUUGUGCAUGUGGCUAGAGCAAGUGCUAGAAG